CCUACGGGUGGCAGCAGUGAGGAAUAUUGGUCAAUGGGCGCGAGCCUGAACCAGCCAAGUAGCGUGAAGGAUGACUGCCCUACGGGUUGUAAACUUCUUUUAUAAAGGAAUAAAGUGAGGCACGUGUGCCCAGGCGGAGAGUACCCGGAGAAAAAGCAUCGGCUAACUCCGUGCCAGCAGCCGCGGUAAUACGGAGGAUGCGAGCGUUAUCCGGAUUUAUUGGGUUUAAAGGGUGCGCAGGCGGGCUGUUAAGCCGGCGGUAAAAAUUCAGGGCUCAACCCUGUCGAGCCGUCGGAACUGGCAGUCUUGAGUGGGCGAGAAGUAUGCGGAAUGCGUGGUGUAGCGGUGAAAUGCAUAGAUAUCACGCAGAACGCCGAUUGCGAAGGCAGCAUACCGGCGCCCAACUGACGCUGAGGCACGAAAGCGUGGGGAUCGAACAGGAUUAGAUACCCGAGUAGUC
rnacentral:rRNA from 1 species